UCCCUCUUAGCUCAGUUGGUAGAGCGCGUCACUAGUACUAGAACAUGACGAGGUCAGUCGUUCAAGUCGGCUAGAGGGAA